rnacentral:rRNA from 1 species
AACGAACGCUAUCGGUAUGCUUAACACAUGCAAGUCGGACGGACUAAUUAGGGCUUGCUCCAAUUAGUUAGUGGCAGACGGGUGAGUAACACGUGGGAAUCUACCCAUCAGUACGGAAUAACUUUUAGAAAUAAAAGCUAAUACCGUAUAUUCUCUACAGAGGAAAGAUUUAUCGCUGAUGGAUGAGCCCGCGUCAGAUUAGGUAGUUGGUGAGGUAACGGCUCACCAAGCCGACGAUCUGUAGCUGGUCUGAGAGGAUGAUCAGCCACACUGGGACUGAGACACGGCCCAGACUCCUACGGGAGGCAGCAGUGGGGAAUAUUGGACAAUGGGCGAAAGCCUGAUCCAGCAAUACCGAGUGAGUGAUAAAGGCCCUAGGGUUGUAAAGCUCUUUUAGCAAGGAAGAUAAUGACGUUACUUGCAGAAAAAGCCCCGGCUAACUCCGUG